UACGGAGGGGGCUAGCGUUGUUCGGAAUUACUGGGCGUAAAGCGCACGUAGGCGGCUUUGUAAGUUAGAGGUGAAAGCCCGAAGCUCAACUUCGGAAUUGCCUUUAAGACUGCAUCGCUAGAAUUGUGGAGAGGUAAGUGGAAUUCCUAGUGUAGAGGUGAAAUUCGUAGAUAUUAGGAAGAACACCAGUGGCGAAGGCGG
rnacentral:rRNA from 1 species